rnacentral:snRNA from 1 species
GCUUGCUUCAGCAGGACAUUAUUAAAGUUGGAAUGAUGCAGAGAAGAUAGGUAUGGCCCCUGUGCAUAACACAUGAAUUCGUGAAGUGUUCCAUAUUUUU